UAGGUUGUCAUAACCAAAUUUCCUUUUCUUAUCGGUUAACACCACCCCUCUUCUGAAAUUAUGCUAACUUUUAAAGGUGAACCUGCGGAAGGAUCAUUAAUGAGUUAGAGUCUUCUAGGCCCGAUCUCCAACCCUUUGUAUAAUUACCACGUUGCUUUGGCGGGCCCGUCUCUUAAAACAGGCCGCUGGGGAUCUCUGAUCUCUGGCCCGUGCUCGUCAGUAGCCCACAACAAAAUCAUUAAAAACAUGUUCAAUCUGAAAAUAUUUAAAUAAACUAAAACUUUCAACAACGGAUCUCUUGGUUCUGGCAUCGAUGAAGAACGCAGCGAAAUGCGAUAAGUAAUGCGAAUUGCAGAAUUCAGUGAGUCAUCGAAUCUUUGAACGCACAUUGCGCCCUUUAGUAUUCUGAAGGGCAUACCUGUUCGAGCGUCAUUAUCACUAAUCAAGCCUGGCUUGCUGUUGGACCUCUUGUCGUUGAAAGACAGGCCCUAAAGAUAAUGACGGUGUCAGUUGGACCCUAGAUGCAACGAGCUUUAACUAGCACGCAUGUUAGUGGCUUUCUGACCCGGUCUUUUAUAACCCAUUUCUUAAGGUUGACCUCGGAUCAGGUAGGAAUACCCGCUGAACUUAAGCAUAUCAAUAGGCGGAGGA
rnacentral:rRNA from 1 species